rnacentral:rRNA from 1 species
GACGAACGCUGGCGGCGCGCCUAACACAUGCAAGUCGAACGAGAGAUGAGGAGCUUGCUCUUCAAAUCGAGUGGCGAACGGGUGAGUAACGCGUGAGGAACCUGCCUCAAAGAGGGGGACAACAGUUGGAAACGACUGCUAAUACCGCAUAAGCCCACAGCUCGGCAUCGAGCAGAGGGAAAAGGAGUGAUCCGCUUUGAGAUGGACUCGCGUCCGAUUAGCUGGUUGGUGAGGUAACGGCCCGCCAAGGCGACGAUCGGUAGCCGGACUGAGAGGUUGAACGGCCACAUUGGGACUGAGACACGGCCCAGACUCCUACGGGAGGCAGCAGUGGGGAAUAUUGCACAAUGGGGGAAACCCUGAUGCAGCGACGCCGCGUGGAGGAAGAAGGUCUUCGGAUUGUAGACUCCUGUUGUUGAGGAAGAUAAUGACGGUACUCAACAAGGAAGUGACGGC